CGCUGGCGGCACGCCUAACACAUGCAAGUCGAACGAAGUAGCAAUACUUAGUGGCAGACGGGUGAGUAACAUGUGGGUAUCUACCCUUUGGCCUGGAAUAACACGAGGAAACUUGUGCUAAUACUGGAUAAGUCUUUACAGAGAAAGCUUUAUGCACCGAUGGAUGAGCCUGCACUUGAUUAGUUUGUUGGUAGGGUAAUGGCCUACCAAGACUGUGAUCAAUAGCUGAUUUGAGAGGAUGAUCAGCCACAUUGGGACUGAGACACGGCCCAAACUCCUACGGGAGGCAGCAGUGGGGAAUCUUGCACAAUGGAGGAAACUCUGAUGCAGCGAUGCCGCGUGAGUGAAGAAGGCCCUUGGGUUGUAAAGCUCUUUCGUCGGGGAAGAAAAUGACUGUACCCGAAUAAGAAGGUCCGGCUAACUUCGUGCCAGCAGCCGCGGUAAUACGAAGGGACCUAGCGUAGUUCGGAAUUACUGGGCUUAAAGAGUUCGUAGGUGGUUGAAAAAGUUGGUGGUGAAAUCCCAGAGCUUAACUCUGGAACUGCCAUCAAAACUUUUCAGCUAGAGUUUGAUAGAGGAAAGCAGAAUUUCUAGUGUAGAGGUGAAAUUCGUAGAUAUUAGAAAGAAUACCAAUUGCGAAGGCAGCUUUCUGGAUCAAUACUGACACUGAGGAACGAAAGCAUGGGUAGCGAAGAGGAUUAGAUACCCUCGUAGUCCAUGCCGUAAACGAUGUGUGUUAGACGUUGGAAAUUUAUUUUCAGUGUCGCAGCGAAAGCGAUAAACACACCGCCUGGGGAGUAC
rnacentral:rRNA from 1 species